GCACCAGUAGUGUGUGGCACACCCACCGACAUAGUUCCUCUCGACGCAGUGCCAUGGUGAGACGGGGUUCGAUUCCCCGCUGGUGCA